rnacentral:rRNA from 1 species
UACGUAGGGGGCAAGCGUUGUCCGGAAUUAUUGGGCGUAAAGAGCUCGUAGGCGGCCUGUCGCGUCGGCUGUGAAAACCCGGGGCUCGAACCCCGGGCCUGCAGUCGAUACGGGCAGGCUAGAGUCCGGCAGGGGAGACUGGAAUUCCUGGUGUAGCGGUGAAAUGCGCAGAUAUCAGGAGGAACACCGGUGGCGAAGGCGGGUCUCUGGGCCGGAACUGACGCUAAGGAGCGAAAGCGUGGGGAGCGAACAG